rnacentral:rRNA from 1 species
UUCAAUUUUUGAAGUUUUUCUAGCUUUUUUGUUGGGUGAAAUCAGUAUAAGAAGCUCUUUCUUCUUUAAAAAUUAGUAGGAACUAAAAAACUUUGAUUUAAAACCAGGAUUAGAUACCCUGUUAUUCUCAGUUAUUCUUAAACAGGGUAGUAAAAGUUGUUCUUCAAACCCAAAGAUUUUGGCGGCACUUUAUCCAAAUAGAGGAGCUUGUCCCUUAAUCGAUAGUCCUCGUUUUAUCUUUCCUUCAUUUGUAAAGCUUGUAUACCGCCGUUGUCAGAUUACUUUUAGAGAAUGUUUUCAAGUUAAAAGACUUUAUAACUUCAGGUCAAGGUGCAGUUUAUAUGGGGGUGGAGGUGAGCUACAGUUUUCUUUAGAAAAUACGGAUUCUAAGCUUUGAAGCUAGCUGAAGGUGGAUUUACUAGUAAAGUAA